rnacentral:rRNA from 1 species
CCUACGGGCGGCAGCAGUGAGGAAUAUUGGUCAAUGGCCGGAAGGCUGAACCAGCCAUGCCGCGUGAAGGUCAGUGCCCUAUGGGCGUUAAACUUCUUUUGUGCGGGAGCAAUAAUGGUCACGUGUGGCCAGACGAGAGUACCGUACGAAUAAGCAUCGGCUAACUCCGUGCCAGCAGCCGCGGUAAUACGGGGGAUGCAAGCGUUAUCCGGAUUUAUUGGGUUUAAAGGGUGCGUAGGCUGUGAGGUAAGUCAGCGGUGAAAUGCCCCCGGUCAACGGGGUGAAGUGCCAUUGAUACUGCCUGGCUGGAAUGCGGAUGCCGUGGGAGGAAUGUGUGGUGUAGCGGUGAAAUGCAUAGAUAUCACACAGAACACCGAUUGCGAAGGCAUCUCACGAAUCCGCGAUUGACGCUGAUGCACGAAAGCGUGGGUAUCAAACAGGAUUAGAUACCCGGGUAGUC